rnacentral:rRNA from 1 species
AUUGAACGCUGGCGGCAGGCCUAACACAUGCAAGUCGAGCGGAGCGGCGGACGGGCGAGUAAUGCCUAGGAAUCUGCCUGGCAGUGGGGGAUAACGUCCGGAAACGGGCGCUAACACCGCAUACUAUCAGAUGAGCCUAGGCCGGAUUGGUUAGUUGGUGGGGGAAAGGCCUACCAGGGCGACGAUCCGUAACUGGACUGAGAGGAUGAUCAGUCACACUGGAACUGAGACACGGUCCAGACUCCUACGGGAGGCAGCAGUGGGGAAUAUUGCACAAUGGGCGAAAGCCUGAUCCAGCCAUGCCGCGUGUGUGAAGAAGGCCUUCGGGUUGUAAAGCACUUUCAGUUGGGAGGCGUUACCCACAGAAUAAGCACCGGCUAACUUCGUGCCAGCAGCCGCGGUAAUUC